ensembl:snoRNA
AGACUGUGAUGGUUGCCUUCUGCAGCAGAUUGUCAUGAAGACAACCAUCAUUUAUCUCAUGCAUCU